rnacentral:snRNA from 1 species
GACUAUGAAGGUGAUCUGGCUGCAACAUCUCUCACCCCACUGAUCACCAGGGUUGAUUUGGCUGGUCUGGCUGGCUAGGCGGGUGUCCCCUUCCUCCCUCAUGGGUCCAUGUGCGUCCCUCCUGAAGCUGUGUGCUCUGUGGCAAAGGAUGACCUUCCGAAUAGAGGAGGACUGGUCUUUGGUCAAAGGUAUAGGAGUAACUGCGCUCCUCUAGCAUCAAAAUAGAAGACAGACUAGUUGGAAAGAAGAGAUUCAGUGGAG